GCAUCGGUAGUUCAAUGGCGAGAAUGCUCGCCUGCAAACGCGGGCGGCCCAGGUUCGAUUCCCGGCCGAUGCA
rnacentral:tRNA from 1 species